ACAGGUGCUGCAUGGCUGUCGUCAGCUCGUGUCGUGAGAAGUUGGGUUAAGUCCCGCAACGAGCGUAACCCUCAUCCCUAGUUGCCAGCGGGUAAGCCGGGCACUUUAAGGAAACUGCCGGUGGUAAACCGGAGGAAGGUGGGGAUGAUGUCAAGUCAGCACGGCCCUUAUGGGGUGGGCUACACACGUGCUACAAUGGUGACUACAAUAGGUUGCAAUGUCGCAAGGCUGAGCUAAUCCGUAAAAGUCAUCUCAGUUCGGAUUGUCCUCUGCAACUCGAGGGCAUGAAGUCGGAAUCGCUAGUAAUCGUGGAUCAGCAUGCCACGGUGAAUACGUUCUCGGGUCUUGUACACACUGCCCGUCACGCCAUGGGAAUUGGCUUAACUCGAAGCUGGUGCGCUAACCGAAAGGAGGCAGCC
rnacentral:rRNA from 1 species